GAUGAACGCUGGCGGCGUGCUUAACACAUGCAAGUCGAACGGAAACUUAUUGAAACCUAGUGAUAUAAGUUUUAGUGGCGGACGGGUGAGUAACGCGUGGGUAACCUGCCUUAUCCAGGGGGAUAACAGUGAGAAAUUACUGCUAAUACCGCAUAAGCGCACGGUAUCGCAUGAUACAGUGUGAAAAGAUUUAUCGGGAUAAGAUGGACCCGCGUCUGAUUAGCUAGUUGGUGAGGUAACGGCCCACCAAGGCGACGAUCAGUAGCCGGCCUGAGAGGGUGAACGGCCACAUUGGGACUGAGACACGGCCCAAACUCC
rnacentral:rRNA from 1 species